rnacentral:rRNA from 1 species
UGGGGAAUAUUGGGCAAUGGAGGCAACUCUGACCCAGCAACGCCGCGUGAAGGAUGAAGGUUUUCGGAUUGUAAACUUCUGUCGCAGGGGACGAAGAAUGACGGUACCCUGUAAGAAAGCCACGGCAAACUACGUGCCAGCAGCCGCGGUAAUACGUAGGUGGCGAGCGUUGUCCGGAAUGACUGGGUGUAAAGGGAGUGUAGGCGGUUUGUUAAGUUAUCUGUGAAAGCCCCGAGCUUAACUCGGGAACUGCAGAUAAGACUGGCUAACUCGAGUACGGGAGAGGUAAGUGGAAUUCCUAGUGUAGCGGUGGAAUGCGUAGAUAUUAGGAGGAACACCAGUGGCGAAGGCGACUUACUGGACCGUAACUGACGCUGAAACUCGAAAGCGUGGGGAGCAAACA